GAUGAACGCUGGCGGCGUGCCUAACACAUGCAAGUCGAGCGAUCUUCUUCGGAAGAGAGCGGCGGACGGGUGAGUAACACGUGGGUAACCUGCCCUGUACACACGGAUAACAUACCGAAAGGUAUGCUAAUACGGAUAAUAUGCUUUUAUCGCAUGGUAGAAGUAUCAAAGCUCCGGCGGUACAGGAUGGACCCGCGUCUGAUUAGCUAGUUGGUAAGGUAACGGCUUACCAAGGCGACGAUCAGUAGCCGACCUGGGAGGGUGAUCGGCCACAUUGGAACUGAGACACGGUCCAAACUCCUACGGGAGGCAGCAGUGGGGAAUAUUGCACAAUGGGCGAAAGCCUGAUGCAGCAACGCCGCGUGAGCGAUGAAGGCCUUCGGGUUGUAAAGCUCUGUCCUCAAGGAAGAUAAUGACGGUACUUGAGGAGGAAGCCCCGGCUAACUACGUGCCAGCCGCCGCCGUAA
rnacentral:rRNA from 1 species